rnacentral:lncRNA from 1 species
UUUACUCAGUCAGCAGGGACGGAGGGCCUUGGGGACAGUGUCAAGGAGCAGCCAAGGCGCCUUCCUGGAAGGGACAACAUCGUUCUCUCCUGUGUCUGGAACCCAUGUGAGAGCAGGAAAGCCUGCCCAGUCAGAAUUCCCUCACAUGUCUUGGGAGCCACCCAUCCGCAGAGGACAGCAAGCACAGCACCAGCCACGCAGGCAGCGGCUGUCCCUGCAAAGCGACAGCCACACAGGCAGCGACUGUCCCUGCAAAGCGACAGGGGACCCGGGAGCCUCGCCCCGUGGGGGCCUGGGCCUCGGGGCCCCUGCAGGGGAGCAGGACUCGCACACGCAAGCUCCGAGGACGGGGAAGGUCAGAAACGCACCCCUUCCAGACGCCUCUGCCGGUCCCCCCCCACUUCCGCAAAACCGAGGACAUGGACACGCAGGAUGACCUUGAAGACACCCGGGGCUGGUGGCUGGCAUGCGUGCUUGGACAGCAACUGUGGCGACGAGCGUGCUGCCCUCCGGAGUCUGGACAGAUGGACGGGGACGCGUGGCACUAAUUGGCCCAGGAUCACAGAGACUGCGCUGCUCCGCUCAACGCCCGCGCCCUUUGCUGCUCGUAAAUUGCAUGGCUCCCUUUGGAAUAAACUGUUUCUUCAUUUC